CCCUUAGAUGUUCGGGGCCGCACGCGCGCUACACUGAAUGAAUCAGCGAGUGUAUGUCCUAGGCCGAAAGGUCCGGGUAACCCGUUGAACCUCAUUCGUGAUUGGGAUAGGGACUUGCAAUUGUUUCCCUUGAACGAGGAAUUCCCAGUAAGCGCAAGUCAUCAGCUUGCGUUGAUUACGUCCCUGCCCUUUGUACACACCGCCCGUCGCUACUACCGAUUGAAUGUUCCGGUGAGCUCUUCGGACUGCGCGGUCUGCAGUUUCUGCGUUCCGUGCGGAAAGUUGCGCAAACCUUAACAUUUAGAGGAAGGAGAAGUCGUAACA
rnacentral:rRNA from 1 species